rnacentral:rRNA from 1 species
CAACCUACCUAUCAGAGGGGAAUAACCCGGCGAAAGUCGGACUAAUACCGCAUAAAACAGGGGCACCGCAUGGUGAUAUUUGUUAAAGAAAUUCGCUGAUAGAUGGGCAUGCGUUCCAUUAGGUAGUUGGUGAGGUAACGGCUCACCAAGCCUACGAUGGAUAGGGGAACUGAGAGGUUGGUCCCCCACACUGGUACUGAGACACGGACCAGACUCCUACGGGAGGCAGCAGUGAGGAAUAUUGGUCAAUGGGCGGGAGCCUGAACCAGCCAAGUCGCGUGAAGGAAGAAGGAUCUAUGGUUCGUAAACUUCUUUUGCAGGGGAAUAAAGUGCAGGACGUGUCCUGUUUUGUAUGUACCCUGAGAAUAAGGAUCGGCUAACUCCGUGCCAGCAGCCGCGGUAAUACGGGGGAUCCGAGCGUUAUCCGGAUUUAUUGGGUUUAAAGGGUGCGUAGGUGGUUUGAUAAGUCAGCGGUGAAAGUUCGCAGCUUAACUGUAAAAAUGCCGUUGAAACUGUCGGACUUGAGUGUAAAUGAGGUAGGCGGAAUGCGUGGUGUAGCGGUGAAAUGCAUAGAUAUCACGAAGAACUCCGAUUG